AGUCAUCUAAAUACCAAAUUAAAAAUCCCUAAUAAUACAAAUAACAAUAAUUCAAAUUGAAAUUAUCAAGUAACGUAAUUUCUUUAAUUCUCUUCAUUUGUCUUUUUCACCUUGAAAACAAAAAUCAUACACCAAAAGUAAAUAAAAUGUUAUUAACAAUUUAACAUACUGCAAUAUUGAUAAUAAUCAUUGUAAAAUUUCAAAAUAUCAAAUAUAUAGUAAAUUUGUAAUAUUUUUAAGGAAAUAAUAAUUAAACAAGACAAAACUUUACUUAUCACACUCACACAAAUCCAAGGAUUUGGAGCAGUGGCAAAACGUAGCACUUGCUGGAUGCAAAAAUUAAAAAGAAAAAGAAAAGGAUUUGGAGAUGGAAAUGAAGGGAAAGAGAUGGCAAAAUGUAGCAGUGGCGGCUGAAUUGCUAGGAGAUGAGGGAAA
rnacentral:lncRNA from 1 species